UUGUCCAUUCCUUCCCUCCUUUCUUUCUCUCCCUUCCUUUUCUCCCUCAUGCUCUUUCUCCUUUCAUCCCUGCUUCUUUCUCUCACUUUCUCGCUUUCCUCCUUUCCAUUCAACAAGGAUUUUCUGAGAACCCACACAACGCCAGUAUCUUGUAGAUCUUGUAAACAAAAGGAUGAAAAGGUGAAGGAAACAUUUCCAGAUGCAGAUGACUUACCAGUCUCAAAAAGAAUUUGCUAGAUGAACCCUGGAUGAGAGAAAAAGAAUGAAAAGGAUUUGCAAACUAUAAAUCUCUAAGCAGUUGGGAGGAAAGGAAUUGAUGAAACAAUAAAUGAGACGAUAGAAACCAUAAAGAACCAAAGGUUUUGGGAUGCAUAUGAAGAACAUGCAAGAUUGUUGCAUAGGCAUAUACAUGGCAAUGUGGUUUGCUGCCUUCCUCCCCAUCACCUGUAUCUGGCAUUUCUCCCUGUGUUAUCCCUCUGCAACUCCCCACUCUCUGCUGUACCUCCCCUAGCUCCCCCCCACCACAGACCUCAGUGUGUGAUGCUCCCCUCCCUGUGUCCAUGUGUUCUCAUUGUUCAACACCCACCUAUGAGUGAGAACAUGUGGUGUUUGAUUUUCUGUUCUUGUAUCAGUUUGAUGAGAAUGAUACUCUUCUGGGUUUUAAAAUCUUCUAAAUGCUGUUCCCAUUUAUUAGGCCAGUGCAUAAGACUGCAUUCCACUUAGAAUCUUGGAG
rnacentral:lncRNA from 13 species